AGAGAAGCCUUCAAUUUCCUGGUUGCCUUAUAUACAUUGGAAGCAAUGUCUUCCAAGUUGUUGUCUGUGAACUUGAUUGCUUAAGAAUCCAGCCCAAUAGGCUCUGUUUGAAUAGCAUUAACCAGAAUACACGUUAAGAUGCUACAAGUAAUCUGGAUAAACAGUGAUAAGACAAAAGAAAAUAAGCAUUAUGCAUGCUAAGCACAAAUAAAUGAAACUUAUUUGAUAGGCCAACCUCUGUCUACAGUGGGAAUGACAAAGUAAAUUGGGGGAGUGAGAUUGGAGCGGAGCGGUAAACAUCUGUCACAGGGAGCAUUUUACAGAAGGCUGGAAUCGAGAACAAGAGACUCCAUGAAUAAUACAUAGGCCCAAAGAUGCCAAGAUAGGAGGCUUUAUAUUCUGAAUGCCGGUAGGAUCCAGAAAACUUAAAUCGAAGACAUUCUAGAGGCAUUUCGUCCACAAUGGAGAGAACUGCAAAUUUUCUUCUUGUGGAAGCCAGCACAGACCUGAAGUCCAAGAAGCUGCCUCCAUUUUAACAGUGUUGCUAACAACACUCCUAUACACGUCUACU